UACGUAGGGGGCAAGCGUUGUCCGGAAUCAUUGGGCGUAAAGAGCGUGUAGGCGGCUUGGUAAGUCCGCUGUGAAGGUCCAGGGCUCAACCCUGGAAUGCCGGUGGAAACUGUCAAGCUUGAGUCCGGAAGAGGCGAGUGGAAUUCCUGGUGUAGCGGUGAAAUGCGCAGAUAUCAGGAGGAACACCAAUGGCGAAGGCAGCUCGCUGGGACGGUACUGACGCUGAGACGCGAAAGCGUGGGGAGCAAACAGG
rnacentral:rRNA from 1 species